ncrna:unclassified sequences Glutamine-II riboswitch (downstream peptide RNA)
GUACGUUGGCCCGGCAGUAGUCGGGCGCAGUCAGAACCGAGCCACGCAACGGGGGCCGGU